rnacentral:lncRNA from 10 species
AAGGCGGGGCUUUGCAAAGAGAGUAGCCUCUGGUCCUUUUGUUACUCAGGAGUGGAUAGUUAGGGUUUUCCUUUCUAACUAAAUUGUUCUAGGAAGUCAGUGUGAAACGGCCUUAGGUUCUCUGCCUCCAGACCCUAAUCUCCUGCCUCAGUCUCAGGCUACAGGCUGGAGGCAGAAGUGGGAGGAUUGCUUGAGCUCAGGAGGUUGAGGCUGCAGUGAACCGACAUCAUGUCACCGCACUCUAGCCUGGGGAAUUGGACACUCCAGGUGUUGGCCCUUCCUUCUGGUGUUGGACUUUCCGGGUGCCAGGCAGGCCCUGCAUUCCAUCUGUUCAGCAACUCUCCAAGAUAAUGUUUUUCAACAAAUAUUAACCGCCUGGGAGGAAAUACAGAAGUGAACAAUCAAAUGAAAUAAAAAUAAAACUGAUGUUAAUAACAAUAAAGCCUCAAAUAGCAACGAACCCAGAGAGACAUCAACCUGGGCUUCCCAAUCAUCCAGGAGUUGUCCCAGAAAGGAUAAUCCAACAGAUGCAGCAGGCUAGAGUCCAAUGGACCCAUCUCAGCUCACUGCAGCCUUGACCUCCCCAACUCAAGCGAUCUGUCCACCUGCGUCUCCCAAAGUGUUGGGAUUACAGGAGUGAGCCACUGCACCUCGCCACGGAAAAUUUCAAUAAACAGCAUUGGAAUAACUGAUCAACAAUCUGAUGCCCUCAAAAUUAAUUACAGGGUCUAUCAAUCAUCGCCGGGGAUAACUUCCUUCAGAGUCACAUUACCUGAUUAGAAUUCCACUUCCUGUUCUUCAGAAGUCUCGCCUUGGAUAGAUUUGACCUAAGGUGAGGACACAGCAUUUGUUCCGUCUGCAACAUGAGGAUGCAGGAAGAAGGCAUUCACCAGACACCAAAUGCUGGCACCUUCAUCUCGGACUUCCCAG